UGAAGGGCACAAAGCAGAAAAAGCGACUGAGUCAAGUUCCAGAGCAGGAAUGAAAGUUCAUUUUAAAAUGCCUUAGAACAGGAAAGAAAUGAAGGUGUGCAUGGAAAAGACCCACGCAGGCACACGAAGGUUAAAGAGAGAAAGUGUGGACUAUCAGGAAAUGGCCUCUCCCUGACGCUGCUAAAUCAUCACUCUCAGAGAGGCAAUGUGAGAAUUGCCAAACCAGCACCUGACACUUCUAGUGCGUGGGGGAAGAGCUGUCUUCUCUCUGGCUCACGCGUAACUACCUACCUGUAACACAUCCUAGAUGCCUAUCUGGACUUAGCGUUUUCAUCUUUUAAAUGAGCAAAUUAACGUAAUACUAGAGGAUCACUGGAAACUUUCCAAUCCAAGACGGAUCUCAAAAAAGAAAUCAAAACUGGCUUAGAUUUCCCAAGGAUUUCCAUAUCUAUAUACUAGAAGAGAACUCAGACUUAUGCAUUUGAGAA